GUCUAGAUGACGAGUCCCAAAUAGGACGAAGUGCGCCAUACAC
rnacentral:hammerhead_ribozyme from 1 species